ACUUAUUCUUAUCCUGUGGCUUAACGGUGUGAGAAGGUCAUCUUUAUAUCACAUUUUAAAGCAUUUCAUCAUCAAACAAAAGUUAAUUUGUACAAUAUCAAGAAUUUUUACUUCUGUUUUCUUGGUCACAUUGAGGAACUACUAAAAGUUACUUCUGAUUGAUUUAAUUUAUAGGAACACAUUAGCCUGGUCGUAAUCCCUUAACUUUCAUAAAUAUCUCCUCCUCUGCUGAAACAACUGGACCAAAACGACAUCAGAACUUGUUCUUGGGAUAUAAUGUUUUGUAUCAUGUCUUGUAUGUUGAAUGUUAUGUCCUUGUUUGUAUACUAUGUCGACUCGAAAUAAAGAUUAUGUAUUA
rnacentral:lncRNA from 1 species